UGUAAUCUGGACAUCACAGAACAUGAACAUCACAAAAUUUGUACAUCACAGAACAGGAACAUCACAAAAUUUGUACAUCACAGAACAUGAACAUUACAAAAUCUGGACAUCACAGAACAUCACAAAAUUUGUACAUCACAGAAAUGAACAUCUGAACAAAAUCUGGACAUCACAGAACAUGACACAUCACAAAUGAGGUUAACCAUGACCAAGCCAUACAAUAUAUACAGAUUUCUGGCCGCACACUUAACAUCCUCUUUCCAGAAUUUUAAUCCCAAUGACGCCACUUAUACAACUUGACCAUCACUAUCCUCGUUGUUCUAUCUUUCUUCUUUGUCUUCUCUGACCAAACUUUUCAUCAUUAAUUUGAUGCACAUAGAGAGAUCAAAGAUGAAGCUGGCUUACCUUGAGUUGUGAGGUGGAGCAUGGGAAGAGGACAGUAGGCACCGAGCCGGCGACCAACGUGGAAGAGGACGAGGUGGUGAGAAACUGCAGAUUAGAUGGUGGUGACGAAUUGCGAGGCGGAGCACGGCAUGGAUGGCCGCGUCAAGAACGGUGAAGCGAUGGGGGAGGGUCGAGGUUGGCAGCGCGGCGCGACGGAUGGGGCACGGCGGUUGGCGGCUUGAUGCUGGUCGUCAGCGCCUCACCGGUCCUAGGCGCGGCUCCAGGCGCCGGCAGGGGCGCGCGGCGCGCCUCGGUGCGGCGGUCACGGGCUGAUGGCUCGCGGGGAUUGAGGCAUCGGGCCUCAGCGGUGGGCGGCGGCUAGGGUUCGUCGCGUGGGAGAGAAAAGAGGAGC
rnacentral:lncRNA from 1 species